rnacentral:lncRNA from 12 species
CGGAGUCCAGGAAGACCCCGUGACCUGCUGGAUGUUGCACUAGGAACAAGCCAGAAAGAAUUGGAAUACAGGUCUCCCAAAUCCGGGUCUGGGGCUCUUUCUGCUUCCUCAACAGCCUGUGGCCGCCCUCCUCGGCCUGUUUUCUCAUUCUGCUGCCCAGCCGGCCCCACCGCCCCGCUGAAGCUGGGGGCCAGCGAAUGGAUUGCGGAUCACUUUCCACGGCUGCGCACGCCCGUCUGCAAUGGUUUGAAAUGCUAGGGGCUUGGAUCUGGGAAGAGCAAUCUGCUCUGAACAGCCGGGCUUGAAUCCCAAUCCUACGGCAAUGGAUGCAUUCCUGCAUGUGCUGAAGUGGGGCAGAUGGUGCUGGAAAGACCCAGGCGUCGUCUUGUCUGAAUCCCCAUGUUACAGGUGGGAGACUAAGAGCCUGGCAGGGGUAGGGAUUUGCCCAAGGCCAUAGAGAUACUUGGAGCCCAUUGGUCACAGUGGUGGCUCUUGGAGGCUAGUCAUCUGGCCAACCUCGCCUCCCUCCCAUUACCGUUCUUCUUCCAGGGGAAAAUCAACACUUGGAGAAGGGAAAGUUUGAUCAGCCUCAACGCACUGGAUGAAUAUAGAGCUGUGUACUUCCUUGGUGUGGCUGAAAAUCCACGAGUGAGUUAAAUAAUUUUGAGACUGCUUGAGGAAAAACUAAAAUUCCAGGGCAUUUCUAAACUGGUUGGACCAUGGAGUGGGCUGUAGUUAAUAAAUUUCAGAUACUUAAUCA